AGAGAGAGACAUGCGCGCAUAUCAAUAAGCGGAGGAAAAGAAACUAACAAGGAUUCCCCUAGUAACGGCGAGUGAAGCGGGAAGAGCUCAAAUUUGAAAUCUUAAAGGGUUUCCCUUUACGAAUUAUAGUUUAAAGAAGUGUUUUCUGUUGAGGUUUUGGUAAAAGUUCUUUGGAAUAGGACAUCAUAGAGGGUGAGAAUCCCGUAUUUGACCUUUACUUUCAACUUUGUGAUACACUUUCAAAGAGUCGGAUUGUUUGGGAAUGCAGUCCAAAAUGGGUGGUAAAUUUCAUCUAAAGCUAAAUAUUGGCGAGAGACCGAUAGCGAACAAGUACCGUGAGGGAAAGAUGAAAAGAACUUUGAAAAGAGAGUUAAACAGUACGUGAAAUUGUCAAAAGGGAAGCGUUUGACACCAGUGUUGUUUUUCUGAAAAUCAAUUAAAGAACUGUUUAUGCUAAGCUGUUUAGACUUUAUCAGCUAUCUGUUUAGUUUUGAGCUUUUCUUUAAUGCACUUUUCAGUUAACAAGUCAACAUCAAUUUCUUUUGCUGUAAAAAAGCUUGAGGAAGGUGGCUUGAGAUUCGUCUUAAGUGUUUAUAGCCUCUUGCCUAUGCAGUCGGAGAGAUUGAGGUCUGCAGCGUAGAUCCUUCGGGGCUAAAUGCAUUUGUGCUAAGUUAUAGCAUUUUAUAGACAACUUGUUGACUAUGAUUUGUCUUGUAGCUUACUCGCUUAUGUUAUUUUACCUACGCUUAGGAUGUUGAGCGCAUGUCUCUCUCU
rnacentral:rRNA from 1 species